rnacentral:rRNA from 1 species
UACGUAGGAGGCGAGCGUUGUCCGGAGUUACUGGGCGUAAAGGGUGCGCAGGCGGCCGCGCGCGUGUGCGAUGAAAUCUCCCCGCUCACCGGGGAGGGGGUCGCGCAGACGGCGUGGCUUGAGGCUCGGGGGGGGGCGUGGAAUUCCGGGUGGAGCGGUGAAAUGCGUAGAGAUCCGGAGGAACACCGACGGCGUAGGCAGCGCCCUAGACGAGCCCUGACGCUCAGGCACGAAAGCCGGGGGAGCAAACAGG